GACCAAGGACUGAGACUAGAGAAGGCUGGGAGGAUCCUCCCUGCCUCCAGGCUAAGAGGACUGGACGUGGCUCUUCUGGCUUCUGGAUUUGCGUGCUUUCCUAUCCUGGCGCAGUGACUCUUGUGUCUUGUCAAAACUCCCAAGCAGAAAUCCUAGUUCCACGAAGUAGUGUUAGGAGAGGGAGGGGGUGACGAGGUAGUAGGUGCAGCCUUGUGGAUGCGUUAGUGUCUUUAUAAAAGACCCCAGAAAGCUGCUACCCCUUUAGCCAGGUGAAGAGGUCACCGGUUAGCCAGAAACUGGCCUUGAGUAGACAGAUUUACCAGUGCCUUUGCACCCUGGACCACAGGCAUCACAUUCUGUCUUUAUAAACUACCAAGCCUCAGGCUUCUUGUUGCAGCAACACGAAAGGGUUGGCGGCAAUUUGGUGAGAAGAUGCCAGCUUUUCCCUGUGACACUGAACUAUCCCUCUGAUGUGACUGUCUACAUUCCACUGUCCUGUAAGGACACUUGUCAUAGCUCACAGGAUCGUCCAAGCGGAGGAAGGCGGCCUUGCAGCUCAGAGGUCAGAGAAAGUGGCUGUGGCUGAGAAAGCCCGCUCACUCACCACAGCCAGGGCUAAGCCACAGCAGGACUCACCUGGACACCUCACCCAGCCCCGUGAGAGCGUGAGAUGGGGAAGGCUCACCCUGCCCAGGGUGGAAGAGUCAGUAUGCGGUCUGCUGUCUUUCAAGCACAAUCAUGGAUCCAGGAGAGCUCCAGGCUGCCCGUUGUUCACAGUCUGUUUCAAGGCAUCAUUGAUCCACAAAGCUGUUUGUGGCUGAUUCCCUAGGCCCCAGGUUUCACCUGCCUAGCAUCCCAGGACACAUGUACUUCUGGCUUUCCUGAGUUCCCUGGGCCUUGGUGAUGUAAUUUUAUGGGUUUUCCAAAUGUGAACCGGGCUCCGAGAGGGGAAACACACCUCCACCCGAUCUCCACGGGUCAUUCAGGUUCCCUGGCUCUCUGCUUCUGGAGGAACCCUUCAAAUGCCACGGCGGAUGAGACAAAUAUAGCUGCCUGGGGUAGAGGGGCCAAGGCCUUUGGUAUGUUAAGGCCAGGACCGCACAGGAGAGAGAGAGAGAGAAGGGAUAAACAGGAACUCUCCUGCUCAGAGCCCCAUUCUAGCCUGCUGCCUCGGCCAGGCAGCCCUUAAGAGCCCACGAUAGCUUCUGUACACCCUGUUCUCCUAUUACUGUCCUUCCCAGAGCCAGACCUGAGCUAGGAAUUUGUCCUAUGAGGAGAGAGGGGGCAGCCAGCCGGUAGGGAACCCCAGCCUUGAAAUAAGCCCCUUUGUGUGGCUGCUGAGGGCAGAGCAUAGGAGGGAGAGAGACAUCCCCAGGCUGGUCUGGAACUCCACAUUUAAACAUUCGGAGUGUUUUUAAAUAAAAUCAUUCACAC
rnacentral:lncRNA from 1 species